rnacentral:tRNA from 1 species
GGGGUUGUGGCUCAGCGAUAGAGCGCUCACCUAGUACGUGCGAGGAGCUGGGUUCGAUCCUUAGCACCACA